UUGCAGCUUUAAUCUUAAGUAUUUAAGAGUAUUAUGAUUAUAACAAUUAAGUGUCACGCACAAAGACUAUUUACUAUAAUUUCUUGUCUCGGACAAUAUUUUCACCACGUAGCUUGUUUGGAUCCCCCUCAUGGUCGGUUCAGAAACAACACAAGUUGACACAUUCCAGAGUGGACUUGGCUCCCUACCUGUCGGUUUACCUGUGUUUAGGCAAUCAUUACUCACUGCUAUCGGAAAGGAAUCGUUCAGACGAUGCCACCUCAACACGGAACUGACAAGACACUCACCAAGUGUCCGCCUUCGGAGAACAGAAAAACAAUCAGUCUUUCUAUAGGAGGAACUGUACUCCCAGAGAAGAUGAGAGGAGACAACUGCAGCUGGUUAGGAGCAGAGAUCCCACUGUCAUGGGAGUUGUUCAGUGUGGUCAAGGAUGAGCUUUGGUUGUUUAUCAUUCCUGCCGGUUUUGCUGUGAUCAUUCUGGCCCUGUUCCUAGAAGAGGUGGGCUUCUUCUUGCGUCACGUGCCCUCCUCCAGACGCCGGUGCCUCUACCUGUGGAUACUGGGCAUGUACCCGCUAAAGGGACACCUCCUUUUUGCCACACAUUUAAAAGAAAUUCAGAUAAGUAUUUGUAAAUGUUGUCCAACUUCACUCAUUCUCUUUCGGUCAGGUCUUUGGCUUAACCUCCAUCAUUGCGCUGUAUGUUCCUCGCUCCUCCUCACUUUGUAAUUUCAUAGCUUCUCUGUAAGUAUCGAGUACAACCAAUUUUUCACCAUCACUAUGUUUGCGUACGAACUUAAAGUUGACGGAAACAUUAUUCACAUCAUUCUGUGCUAAAACCUCCAGUAAAACGAACUAGCUCUUCGUCUGUCCUUUUCUCUCAAGGUACCACUCAAUCACUCUGUUAAAGUUUAUGAGGCUCAUCAGACUUCUUUGGGGGAAAGGCCCGCAUGCUGGAGAUCUUAGCUGGACAGCACAACGGCAGGAGAUGGUAGGCCUACAUGGGAUCAGACGCAGUAGCCUUCAAUGGUGCUUACUUUUUCAUGUAGGCUAUAAUAGUCAUGAACAUUUGGUUAAGUCAUAAAAUGUGUAUGAACCCUUAACAUUGAAUAAUCAGAGGUCUCUAUAGCAUAAUGUAAUUUGCAAAUGUUGGUGAACAGUCUAGACAGACAGACUUGGAAAAAGACAGCUCUUGCACUACUUUCAUCCUAAAUCAAGCACUGCUUUGGCUACAAACUGAAAUGGUCCACCCACACAAAGUGUGGUGAAGAAGGUGCAACAGCGCCUCUUCAACCUCAGGAGGCUGAAGAAAUUUGGCUUGUCACCUAAAACCCUCGCAGACUUCUACAGAUGCACAAUUGAGAGCGUCCUGUCGGGCUGUAUCACCGCCUGGUACGGUAACUGCACCGCCCACAACCGCAGGGCUCUCCAAAGGGUUGUGCAACGCAUCACCGGGGGCAA